UUUAUCUCUAAUUAGUGAUUUGGACUUUAACUGUUCUUACUAGCGUGGUAGAGUCCUAUGAUGGACACAUCUUAAUGUGUCUAAAUGUACACUGUAUUUUAUAUGAAUAAUAUAUAGUCUAUUGACUAAUUUUUCUAUAUGCUAGGCCACUGGUAGUAAACAUUUCUAAAAUCUUUA